rnacentral:rRNA from 1 species
GUUCGGAUUGUAGUCUGCAACUCGACUACAUGAAGCUGGAAUCGCUAGUAAUCGCAGAUCAGAAUGCUGCGGUGAAUACGUUCCCGGGUCUUGUACACACCGCCCGUCACACCAUGGGAGUCGGAAAUGCCCGAAGCCGGUGACCAAACCAAUAAGGAAGGAGCCGUCGAAGGCAGGUCUGAUAACUGGGGUGAAGUCGUAACAAGGUAAC